GGUAACAGAGGAGCUUGCUCCUGCUGACGAGCGGCGAACUGGUGAGUAACGCGUAGUUAUCUGCCGUACAGACUGGGAUAGCCAUUGGAAACAGUGAUUAAUACCGGAUAUUGCCUACGGGUGAAAGGCGCGUUUUGCGCCACUGUGAGAUGAGAUUGCGUCCUAUUAGCUAGAUGGCGGGGUAAGAGCCCACCAUGGCGACGAUUGGUAGCCGGCCUGAGAGGGUGAAC
rnacentral:rRNA from 1 species